AGUUUUAUCAGGUAAAGCGAAUGAUUAGAGGAUUUGGGGCUCAAAGAGCUUCGACCUAUUCUCAAACUUUAAAUUGGUAAGAACCUCUAGUUUACUUAAUAGAACUGGAGGAAAGAAUGCGUUGUUCCAUGUGGGCCCUUUUUGGUAAGCAGAACGGGUAAUGAGGGAUGAACCUAACGUUGAGCUAAGGCGCCGAAAUCCCCGCUCAUGAGAUACCACAAAAGGUGUUGAUUCAUAUAGACAGCAGGACGGUGGCCAUGGAAGUCGGAAUCCGCUAAGGAGUGUGUAACAACUCACCUGCCGAAUGAAUUAGCCCUGAAAAUGGAUGGCGCUGAAGCGGGGUGCCGAUACUCAACCAUUAGAGCAAAUUUGAGGCUUUAAUGUGUAAGAGGGCGUGAGCACAGUGCAGAAGCCUUGGGUGUGAACCUGGGUGGAACUGUGUUUAGUGCAGAUCUUGGUGGUAGUAGCAAAUAUUCAAAUGAGAACUUU
rnacentral:rRNA from 1 species